rnacentral:misc_RNA from 1 species
AUCCAGUUGCUCCAGAACAUAUUGAAGUCGACUGAAUUGCUGUUUCCUCCAAGUGCAAAAAAUUUAAGUCCUAGCUGCAUAGAUUUGUGUAAAAGAUUGUUGCGCCGUUAUCCAGUGGAGCGGUUGACAUUUGAAGAGUUCUUUAACCACCCAUUUCUUGCACAGAAGCAGCCAGAUGAGCUGUCUUGGGAUACGAGACCUCAAAGGGUAAUAGGUGGUUUUCCUAUAUCAGAAGGCUAUCCUGCGAGGGGCUCAGAGGAAACUUUUCAAGAAGAUGGUUUACCCUUUAGUCUAGAUGAUUAUUCCAGCGGUCCUUCAUUUACUGGGAGAUCACCACAGAGGUUGUCAUAUGGUUUUUCUUGUGAUGCAAAAGCUGAAAGGAAAGAAGUUACUAGUAGUACCCAACAGAAAACAGAUGGUAUUGGCUCUAGCCACCGACAUUCAGAAGGAAACCUGAAGGAAUCUAUUAAUUUGAAGGACCACAGACAAACAACUACUCGUUCAAAAGUGGUGGAUUCAUUCGAGUUGAUUGAUCAGGACUAUGUUAUUGUUUCCGGCCCUCCAGUGGAUUCAUAUUCUUCAAUAGGUGCUUCUAGGCUUUGCAAUAUGCCUUUCAGAUCAAGCUGUUCCCUGCAAGCGUCUGCGAGAGUAGAUCCUAGACCAAGUGACCCGGUGCCUAUUAGUGGUCCUCCUCUUAGUAGAAUAGGUCAUUUAGGAAGUUCGGAAAGUCCCUCAUCUGCACCUGGAGCUUCACAAGUAUGCACUGAUGUCAUAAAUUGCUUGGAGCAGUCACCACCUGAUGGCAUGGCCAGAAUAGAGUCCCUG